GCACACUGCGUUGUUCGUGCAUGGAGGGGCGAAACUCAAGGGUUUCUCGUCUGUCCACGCCUUUCUUUUGCCUAUGAAGAAAGUCGAGUGGCUGUUUGCCGAGUCAGAAGCCGCCCGGUAGACCUGCAGCGGGCGGAAAGGAAGCGAAGUCGCGAGACUUGCAUCAUUGGACGUUUCCGCGUUCGAGCACUUCGAGCCGAGAGAAUGCCUCACGGACCGGCUAACUCGCAACUUCAAAACCACGAGUUUUUCCCGGCCCUUCACUUCUCUGCGCGCGCCCACGGACGGCACCUUCUCAGAAACUCCGAUGCCUCACGCUCCAAAGCGUACAACACGCUCGCAUAAAUAAAUGGGCGUCUUUGCUCUCUCUCUACAUAUAUAUAUAUAUAUAUAUAUAUGUAUAUAUAUAUAUAUAUAUAUGUAGACAGAGGUGCACGGCCACCUCUGUGGACACAUGCUGUCAUACGCAUAUGUGUAUAAUGGAAGUAGAUGCGCUCAGCUUAGGUUUUAGCGUAACCCCUUGGUGUGUGUGUGCCUUUCUUCGACGAGAUUCCUCUGCAGACGGUGGCUGCAUUUUCUCGAACUGCGACUUGCGGCAGUGAAGAGUCCAACCCCCUGCUCCAGCGUGUGCACACGCUUCCAAGUGUGUCAGGCGCUCUGGGACGGAGACACCUUAAAUCGCGAAGAAGGGCGGCAGGGACUGAACUGAGAUCGUUGCGGGAUGGUGCGACCAUGAUGUUCCGACGUGCAUGCACCAAGUGAAGUUCGUCCUUGAGACGAGGCGGUUCUUAUUCUACACAGGAACUGCGAAUGAAAUCCUCUUCAGCAGUAUUUAUAUACAGGCUUGUGGACAUAUGUGGCAAAAGCGAAACCUUUUAUUGCAGCACCUAUAUAUAUUAUAUACAUUGUUGAUGUUUCGUUUCCGCUUCGUUCGGGAAAAUGUUUUCUAGGCAUACUUUUGAUCGCACGAAAAUGAGGCCGUUUCGCAGGGGAGCCGCCUACGCUGAGUGUUUGUUGAGUCGAUGGCAAAGCCCUUCUAUUUUUGUCCGUUCGUGAGAAAACGCCGC
rnacentral:lncRNA from 1 species